rnacentral:rRNA from 1 species
AGCGAACGCUGGCGGCAGGCUUAACACAUGCAAGUCGAACGGGCACUUCGGUGCUAGUGGCAGACGGGUGAGUAACACGUGGGAACGUACCUUUCGGUUCGGAAUAAUCCAGGGAAACUUGGACUAAUACCGGAUACGCCCUUCGGGGGAAAGAUUCAUCGCCGAUAGAUCGGCCCGCGUCUGAUUAGCUAGUUGGUGAGGUAAUGGCUCACCAAGGCGACGAUCAGUAGCUGGUCUGAGAGGAUGAUCAGCCACAUUGGGACUGAGACACGGCCCAAACUCCUACGGGAGGCAGCAGUGGGGAAUAUUGGACAAUGGGCGCAAGCCUGAUCCAGCCAUGCCGCGUGAGUGAUGAAGGUCUUAGGGUUGUAAAGCUCUUUUGUCCGGGAAGAUAAUGACGGUACCGGAAGAAUAAGCCCCGGCUAACUUCGUG